CCUGACAUGGUCUCAGAGACGACAUUGCUGCGAGAUGCAAUAGGAUCAUUUGUUGCAUGGCCCUCGGAGCUCAUUACCAUUAGUGAUGAGACUGCUCCUAUAAAACCCGCAAUUAAGGGUAAAGGGAUUUUACAGGAGGAGGAGUCUGUUGCAUCACUAAAAGAGGCAUCCGCUCGGGAGUCACAACAAGUGACGCAGCAAGUUCGUAGCGUACCACCCAC